rnacentral:Y_RNA from 1 species
AUCACGAAUGCGGACGGAACUACAUGGUCUCCAAAACCCGAGGUCGUGGGUUCGAAUCCCACCGGCUCCACUUUCGAGUUCUCACUCGGAGCCGUAGCUCAGCCUGGUAGAGCGCGAAAACGUUUCGUCAAUUCUUGUCGUGAUGAC